CUGCCCUGGGUGUGGUGCCCUGUUCGAGAUGGGCUGUUUCGCAUGGAUGAGGCGGCCGGGGCUGGAAAGCCUGCCUCUGCUCUGCCCUGCACCUGCUGACGGUCACUGUGUCCUCCUAGUGGCAAGAGAUUCUCUCUUGAAGAAACUCUGCAGGAAAAGCAGAGAUGAAGAUUCCACAGAAGUGCAGGCAGAGGAACAGGCCGAGGAGAAAGGUGUGUGUUCUGGAAUCAGUCCUUUCUAAGGAAAGAUCUUCAGGGUUGCAAAAGGUGGCACUUCCUAGUCUGCUUUUGCUGGAGAACCACUUUGGUUUGAACUUCCUGACAGAAAUGAGAUUUGGACAGUUUGGAAUAAAAACCACUGAGUCCAGUAAAGAACUGUGACCAUCCAUUCGAGUCUGGGGAGGCAGGAUUGUCAUGUAGAUGGAAUAGUGUGUUGUGCAUCAGGGUGGGGAGGUAUGGAGGAGAGAGUCGUGUGGAGCGAUUGGGAAUGUCUUUGGGAGUGUGUGGGCAUUUACUCAAAAAGCAUGUUUCCCUGUGCGGAGCACGAUCAAAGGAGCAAUUUCCCUAAAAAUAAAGUUGCAUCACCACUGCGCACUUCACAUACA